AGUCGAGGGGUAUUGUUCUUCGGAAUGAGAGACCGGCGCACGGGUGCGUAACGCGUAUGCAAUCUACCUUUUGCAGAGGGAUAGCCCAGAGAAAUUUGGAUUAAUACCUCAUAGUAUGUGAGAAUGGCAUCAUUUUCACAUUAAAGUCACAACGGCAAAAGAUGAGCAUGCGUCCCAUUAGCUAGUUGGUAAGGUAACGGCUUACCAAGGCUACGAUGGGUAGGGGUCCUGAGAGGGAGAUCCCCCACACUGGUACUGAGACACGGACCAGACUCCUACGGGAGGCAGCAGUGAGGAAUAUUGGACAAUGGGCGCAAGCCUGAUCCAGCCAUGCCGCGUGCAGGAUGACGGUCCUAUGGAUUGUAAACUGCUUUUGCACAGGAAGAAACAACUCUACGUGUAGAGUCUUGACGGUACUGUGAGAAUAAGGAUCGGCUAACUCCGUGCCAGCAGCCGCGGUAAUACGGAGGAUCCAAGCGUUAUCCGGAAUCAUUGGGUUUAAAGGGUCCGUAGGCGGUUUAGUAAGUCAGUGGUGAAAGCCCAUCGCUCAACGGUGGAACGGCCAUUGAUACUGCUAGACUUGAAUUAUUAGGAAGUAACUAGAAUAUGUAGUGUAGCGGUGAAAUGC
rnacentral:rRNA from 1 species